rnacentral:rRNA from 1 species
CUGUCUCUAUAUAAUUAUUAAUUUAAUUUAAUUUUUAAGUUAAAAAGCUUAAAUUUUUUUAAAGGACGAGAAGACCCUAUAGAGUUUUACUAGUUAAUAAAUUAGUAAAAUUUAUUUUUUUUAUUAAUUAAUUAAUAAGUUUUAUUGGGGCGAUAGUGAAAUUUAAUGAACUUUUAAUAAUAAAAACAUUGAUUAAUGAAUUUUUGAUCCUAAAUUUUAGAUUAUUAGAAUAAAUUACCUUAGGGA